AACAGAGUAGAUAAAGAGCGUCAAGUGUUAAGAAAUGGGUUGUUGUUCUUAAACGAAUUUAUAUGAUUCUUUAUCGCGGCCGCUGUA
rnacentral:ncRNA from 2 species